CCUACGGGUGGCAGCAGUGGGGAAUAUUGGACAAUGGGCGAAAGCCUGAUCCAGCCAUGCCGCGUGUGUGAAGAAGGCCUUCGGGUUGUAAAGCACUUUCAGUGGGGAAGAAAGCCUUGGGGCGAAUACCCUCGAGGAAGGACAGCACCCACAGAAGAAGCACCGGCUAACUCCGUGCCAGCAGCCGCGGUAAUACGGAGGGUGCGAGCGUUAAUCGGAAUUACUGGGCGUAAAGCGCGCGUAGGCGGUCUGAUAAGCCGGUUGUGAAAGCCCCGGGCUCAACCUGGGAACGGCAUCCGGAACUGUCAGGCUAGAGUGCAGGAGAGGAAGGUAGAAUUCCCGGUGUAGCGGUGAAAUGCGUAGAGAUCGGGAGGAAUACCAGUGGCGAAGGCGGCCUUCUGGACUGACACUGACGCUGAGGUGCGAAAGCGUGGGUAGCAAACAGGAUUAGAUACCCCAGUAGUC
rnacentral:rRNA from 1 species